GUGUUGAUUAUUUAGAAAGUUAGAAACUUAUAUUGCUCAGAUAAGCAGAAGCAGAGUUAAAAUUUGUCCCCUUUUUAGGCCAAAAUAUUAACGGACACAUGACUAUCAAGACGUCACUAAUAACAAAAUUAACAACUAAAGAGAAAAAAUGAUACCAGGAGUGUUGUGGACCAAUCGUUCAUCAUUAGCUGCCGGAUGUACGCGAUCGUGCAUCAUUAGCUGCCUGAUGUACGUCAUGUGAUGCUACACAUCAUACGGCGUCGGCCGACCCCUGUGCAUAUUCUAUCCUCCUCGCUGUAAUGCCCUUCUCUACUUUUCCUGUAAAAAGAUAAAUAGGAUGCUAGUAAGUAAGUGUAGCUAAAGUAUUAAGCCAUGAGUGACACAAAUAGCAAAAUACGUGGGCAUAGUUUGUAUGGGUCACAUUAGGGAAGAUCACAAAGCAACAUAGCUAGUUAUCAUGGAAUCAAAUCUGGAAAAUAUAGCCAUGUUAAAAACGAACUAUCAGGCACACAGUAACCUUUUUUAGAAUAGUACAAUGAUGGACAGAACUGCAAUUAGCAACACGUAAGGGACUUGAAGACAAAUAUAUGGCUAACCUGAAUGUUAUCUCUUAUAAAAGAGUGCCUUUGAUCUGUCUAUGAGAUAAUUCCCUUUCUCAGUUUUUCUAAAAACACAUGAUUUCUAUGUAUGAGAUAAUUCCCUUUCUCAGUUUCUCUAAGAACACAUGUUUUAGGAGCGUAGGCAUAGCUACUUGUACCAAGGUAGUAGAAACAACACACCUAAAACACACUGAAAUUGAUACGUAUAUGAAUAUAUCUCCCUGGAUACCGUGAUUUUAUUGCAAGUUGAUUGAACCACAAACUUGAUAAUUGUUCUAAAGAAAUCUCAAUAGACCCUUUCACUUCAGGUUAAAAUUCAGAAACUUAACAAUUCGUCAAACACCAAGACUCCAUGGGCUCACACCAAGACAUGGGGAGGAAAUAGACUGGUUAGUGAAUCAUUUGAACAAUUAUAAAUAAGAUGCAUAGGGGCUUAGAUUACCACAUACCUGUGCUAACCAUGUCCAUGCCUGAAGAAGUCGUUCAAAGUGGAUGAGGUCAAAAUUCUGAGGUUUGUGGGGCUUAGAUUACCACAUACCUGUGCUAACCAUGUCCAUGAACAAUUAUAAAAAUGCUAGAUGUCUCCUUGAUGCCUUGUUUGAUCUUCAUGCUGACCCUGACCUUUCCCUCACGGCCAUGGAUCCUAUUU
rnacentral:lncRNA from 1 species